rnacentral:rRNA from 1 species
UACGUAGGGUGCAAGCGUUGUCCGGAAUUAUUGGGCGUAAAGAGCUCGUAGGCGGUCUGUUGCGUCCGCUGUGAAAACCCGGGGCUUAACCCCUGGCUUGCAGUGGAUACGGACAGACUAGAGGUAGGUAGGGGAGAAUGGAAUUCCCGGUGUAGCGGUGAAAUGCGCAGAUAUCGGGAGGAACACCGGUGGCGAAGGCGGUUCUCUGGGCCACUACUGACGCUGAGGAGCGAAAGCUAGGGGAGCAAACGGG